UCUCCCCUGUCAGAGAACAAGAGCCAAGCCCCAGAGACAGCGCCUCAGAGAAGAUUUGGAAUCAUUACAAAUUGUACCAAGACUCAGACGUCAGGAUGGAGAAUAUGCUGGAAUGUGCAUUCAUAGUUUUGUGGCUUCAGCUUGGCUGGGUGACUGGAGAAGACCGGGUGGAGCAGAGUCCUCAGACCCUGAGACUUCAGGAGGGAGACCGUGUCCGCCUCAACUGCAGCUACACAGUCAGCGCCUUUAACGGGCUACAGUGGUAUAGGCAGGAUCCCGGGCAAGGCCCAGAAUUCCUCUUUGUCCUAUAUGCAGUUGGUGAUGAGAAACAGAAAGAAAGACUAAGAGCCACACUAUUAAAGGAGGGAAGUUCUCUGCACAUCGAAGCUUCUAAACCUGAAGACUCAGCCACUUACUUCUGUGCCGUGAAGACACAGUACUCCCAGGCAGCCUGGGAGCUGUACCAAAACCCUGCAGUUGCACUCUGGAAUAAGGGCAUCUCUGCUGUUCCUCUUCCUCAAGGAAGUACUUAGCAUUCAGAGCCUCUUUCCAAGUGGUCCUGUGGAGAAAGAAGUCUUGUGACACAGCUUAGAUGGCACGGAUUACUGUUCCUUCUGUUCUGGUCCUUAGGAUAGUUCCUUUGUGUGUUCUGUAUCAGUCUGCUCUUUGAAACAGCUCAGGGCUUUCCUCACCUGGAUACAGAAGGGAUAGCUGUGCAAUGGACAGCCUUGGUUUCUUGCUUUGGGUCACUUGAAAAGAGACUGACCAGAAAUACACUCUUCCCUCCCAGAAGUUUUUUUUUUUUUCUUUUUUCUUUUUUUUUAAGUGCUUUAUAUUCUCUUACAAUAAUCUGGUCACAUCUUUAUUAAAUGAAUCUUUCCCAUUUUAAUAUAGUCUUCUCGAAGCCCACAUCUUCACCAGCCAUAUUUCUACAUUUCUCUUCUCCUUAAUCACCAAAUUAAUGGAAGGAAUUUUCCGUACUCACUGUGUCCAUUUCCUCAACCCCCAUUCUUCACCCCUGCCAGAAUCUGGCCUCUGUUAGUAUCAGUCCAACAAAAUCUUUAGCCUUCACUCCCAUGACUUUGGUGUUGUUGAAACCGAUGGAUUGAUGUUUUAUCCAGUCCUCAUUCUGUCUGAAAUUCACAGCAGUCUCUCUUCCUUUCUUUUUAAAUAUCUUUCUUUUCUUCUCUUUUCUUUUUUUUUAACCACAAUCAUACUUCAUAUAUUUACAAAAUCAAAUAGCACCCCUUUUUGGUCCCCACUCCUCCACAUACUUCAGUCCUCCCUCCCUGGUGGAAAUGCUUUUAAUUCUCAGGUGGUGGCAGUGAUAUUCAUUUCAAUAUUUUUAAAUGCUGUUUCUUUGGCACCUGGAUGGUUCAGUCAGUUAAGCAUCCGACUUGGUUCAGGCUCAGGUCAUGGUCUCAGGGUUCUGAGAUGAGUCCCAGAUGGGGCUCUCUGCUCAGCAGAGAGGCUGCUUCCCCCCACUCUCUCUCUCCCUCUACCCCUUCCCCCAUUCAUGCACAUUCUUGGUCUCCCUCUCUCACAUAAAUAAAUAAAUCUUUAAAAAAAAAAUAAAAUUUUCUGUUUCUUUGUUUUUUUCCCUCUUUUUUUUUGUAAUUGAGUUACAACACGUAUAACCAAAUGCACAAAACUUAAAACCUACAGCUCAACAAAUCUUUACACUUCUUUAUAGCCAUGUAAUACCAUCCGGAUCUGCAGAGUGAAUAUACCUGUUGCUCCAGAAGAUUUUCACAUGCCCCUUCCAAUUCAACAGCCCUUCUUUCCACUCUCCACCCUGAAUAACCACUGUUCUGACUUCUGUAAUCCAUUCUGGAACUUCACUGCCUAGAAUUGUGCAGGAUGGUGCAGUAUGUAUUCUCAUAUCUGGUUUCUUUCACUCAGCAUAGUUAUCUUUGCAAUUCAUUGAUUCUGCCCUGUGUAUCAGUUGUUUACUCUUCCUUAUUGAUGUGUAGAGUUUCUUUGUAUGAAUAAACAAUUUACUUCUCCAUUCUCCUUGAAAUAGACGUUUGGGUUAUUUGGAUUGUUUACAGUUUGGUGCCAUUAUGAAAAAGUCUGUGUUUUGGUGGACAGAUAAACUCAUUAUUUUUGGAUAAUUCCACUAGAAUGGACUUACUGGAUCAGAGAGUAUGAUAUAUUUAACUCUAGAGCCAGCUGAU